rnacentral:lncRNA from 1 species
GGUCUUUGAUAGUAAACCUAGCCAUUUUUUUGUUUUGUUUUAGGGCUAAAGAUUUAUUCAAAACCUCAGCAUGUUAUCUAUAAGUUAUUAGUAAAAGGAGAUGAUCUUAAUCUGUUGGACCUGAAACUGGAAAUGAAGACUCAUCAUUCUAAAAUGAGAAGUAACAAUUAAAAUGUUUUCUGGAGUACUCAGAGGGUUUACAGACUUCCACAAGAUGACACAGCCAGUACAAGUCAGGGACAGGCAUUCUGCCAUGCUUUAUUGAAGACGCACUCUCUUGUUGGUUCCACUUUGCCAAUAGUUCUCAAAUGUGUGGAUCAUGGCCAGAUAUGAAGAGGAAAUGGAUCUCAUUUUUUGGACAAGAUAUACAAAAGAGCCACUGCACAGGUCAAAAAAAACCAAUCCAAGAAGGAUUGACGCACUUCUAAGUCAACACAAAGGACUUGAACCUAGUGUGAAGACUCAAGGUUGCGACGCUUAACAUACAUUAAGAUGUAGGCCUUCCUUGUAUCCACACUCUUUGUGAAAAUACUUACAGACAAGUAUCCCUAACUUGGCUCCUACUUGGUUUCUAUAAUCUAGUCCCUUCUCUGUCUUUCAUAGUGUGGUAAACUUUCUGUAGUCCUGGCUACUGAUUGGGUAAAUGCUUACUACCUUAUAACAUUUUAAUUGGGCCCUGAUUCAAGGAAAUGUUAUAGAUUUAUUUUUCCUUUACUUAGAAUUUUUACACAUAAGACUUUGAUAGACUACAUUUUCAUCCAGAAAUUAUCUUAUUUAUUGGGAUUUUUUUUAUGUCUUUUAAUUUCUCUUGCCAAUUGAUUCAUAUAUCUCAUAACUCAGCCAUGCAUCCUUAAAUGAUCCCUGUGUUUUUCAAUCACCCUCUUCAAGGGGGGAAUGUAAAAAUAUUAUUAUUUUAAAUUGCGAAGUUUAAAUUCUUUUGAGAAGAAAUUUAGGUUAAGAAACAAGUUACCUCUCCAAAUCCAGAAACUG